rnacentral:lncRNA from 1 species
GGGGCCGAAACCGGCAAAACGUGUCAAACGGCCCCGAUCUUACCCAUUUUUCGGCGAUCAAACCGCCGCACGGCUACCCCCCCAUCUCGAUGCCCCCGGACCGCUGGUCCCGUGGGACCAAACGGAAACGGAAUCGGAGGCCCGGAUCAUGAGUUACGGCCGAAACCGGCAAAGCCUACUAAGCGGCCCCCGAUCUUGCCCAUUUUUCGCCGUUCAAACUGCCGCGUGGCUACCCCCCCAUCCCGAUGCCCCCGGACCGCUGGUCCCGUGGGACGAAACGGAAACGGAAUCGGGGGCCCCGAUCAUGAGUUACGACCCCUUC